AAAAUGAAGUUACCCAGGAUGUAUUGCAAACCUUCUGCAGUUUUGUUCCUUGUCCUUCUACGAGUCGAGGUACAAAGCCAGACUGUUCAGGACACAAUCCCAGUGUUGGAGGGUAACUCCACCAGCGUACCCUGCGAACUUGACCUUGGUUCUUGCCGAGACCCUGACAAGUGCGUGUUAUGGAUCCACAAGGGACCCGGUGAUGACAGGUUCAAGGUUGGCAAAUGUUCGAGCGAGUGUGGAAGUUGUAAUCACUGUCCACACACACAGCCAGAACAAUGUACAGCCAUUUAUUUUGAAGACACCCAAAGGUCAUGUAUGGCCAUCUAUCAAUGUCAAUUCUAUGAAGAUACCACUCAGCCGUCAUCAUACAGGGUCAAACUGGAUG